rnacentral:lncRNA from 10 species
GGCCUGCCUGAUUCCCAUCUUCUUGCCAGGGAUCUUUGAAAGUGCAGGUGGAACAGAGUUCUUGCCCCAUGGCUCCACUACCGUUGCAGUCAUAGUGAACGUGAGACCAGAUGGCAGGGAUCUGAUGGAAAUUAUUGAUUUAAAGGAUGCAGAUGAGAACCUGAAGAGCUGACUAAAAAGUAAUGACUGAAAAGCUGAGAUACUGAGCAUAGCUUCCAAAUGUCUCAUGGGGCUAUAGAGAAAAACCCUGUGUUCAUGGCCCA